ensembl:lncRNA
CUACAGAUUUUAUUGUGGCUCAGUCACAUAGCCAUGGCUGACUGGUCAUGCGGUCAACCUUAGUCUCCAGAGGUCAAAUUCAUACCACAUGACCCAAGGACCCUUCCUAUAAAUCACACUGCUAGCAUAGGCUAUCUGGCUUGGCCAAAGGUCCCCAGGUUAAACAAAUCAAGGCAAGAUAUUCCUAGGUCUUAGAGGUUACCUCCCAGGAGCCAAGGGCAAAGGCCAAACCUCUUUGGGUGAAAGAUUAAUCGUUUAUUGUCCAUCCAGACCUUCUUGUUCCACUUGACAGAAUUUCUCUGCAACAUCCCUCCAAACUUACACCUCUCCUAAUCUAUUCCAUCCUCAAGAACAACACCAACCAUCAUCCAAGUGAUCAAGCCACUUGCACCCUAAUUCAAGCCACCAUCAGUUCUCACAUUGGGGGUUUCUGGCAAGUGCAGCUGGGUAGAUAGAUGAAGGUAGCUCAGACCGGGCGUUUGGGGGGCCCUGAGUGUGUUGCAGAGUGCUAGUACCGGCCCAGGAUGCUGCACCCUGGCCCUCCUUCCCCCAGAAGGACCCCGAACCUCCAGCCAGGGCUUACUCGGUUCGCCAAGGAAGCCUAGCUUCAGAGCCUGGACAAGAAGAUCUGCUCCCUGCCCAGUCCUGAGUCCCAGACGCACAACUCAGAAAGCAAAACUCAAGUUUCAGAAACUGCUGGGCCCCCAGAACAGAAGGGGAAGAAAGCACAUUAGAAAUCCCAGGUGCGGGUCCCUGUGGAGAAGCCUCAGGGCAGGAAGUCAGCGGCAGUGAAAGAGGAGGCGGAGGCCUUCAGCUCCACUGCGGGCCCUGCGGAUGGCCUGGCCUCAGCGCCCGACUCUUCAUUUGCGGUGGACGUCCUGUGACAGCGCCUGCAUGAGAAGAUAGGGGAGGCACGCAGCCAGGGCAACGCCAGGAAGCUGCUUCCCACCUCUUUGGGGAAAAGAUGCUGGAGGAAGCUGAGGCAGCAGGAGUGGGACCGGAAGUAGAGGGUGCGGAGGGAGCUGGGGAUGAAGGAGAAAGCCGCCAAGGUCUCCAAGAGGCCCCCUGAGCUGCCGGGCCAGCCGGGCUGCUCUUCACUGAGGUAGAGAUGAGUCAAUAAGAGGGGCAGGCCUGCAAGGCGCAGCGCAGGAAGGAGAGGAGGCAGAAGGUGAAGGGGCUGAUGGGCUGGAGCAGCUGCCAGACUGGGUCGCGGCCUAGGCCCGGGAACUUCAGGCCAAGAUGCAGGGACGAACCUGCUGUACAAGGCCAAGGGCGUGAAGAUCCUCAACGGCCAGCACCUGCAGCCGGAGGUCCAGGAGAAGCGGCGGGCGCAGCGCGGGUGCACGUGUGAGAAGCGCAGGGCCAGUGGCCCAGGUGGUGGGGAAGAUGCUGCUGCAGGACCGAUGGCGGCAGAACCUGCGCAAGAAGGCGGUCAAGGCCGAGGGGCGCCUGGAGAAGGGCCGCAUCCUGCACCCUGGUUCUGGAGACCGACCUGGCCUGAGGGCCCGGAUGCUCGACCCCAGGAGCAGAAGGGAAUGGCCUUUGGGACUGCUGUGUCAGCCCCAAACUCUUUUGAAAAGGACGAAAACCAGCGACUGAAGCCAGACCGAAGGUGGAAUUGAUGGUCUCGGCGACUGGAAGAAGGCGGGGCCAUCCUCAGUUAAGAAACAGAUGGUAACCAAAAGGAAGCUGGUGUUGGCUGUAUUGGAAGAUGAAGUCAAUUUUAAGAUAAAAGGCACUGCUAAAGAGAAGGAAUAUCCCCACGUGAUGAAAAGGGGUUCAAAUCACCUGGAAGGUGGAAAAGCUGUGCACCAGGAACAUAUCUCCAAGUCUGUCUAGCAGAAAGUGACACAAGGAGAAAUCAAGUCACAGAUCAAAGUGGGAGAUUUUUAACAUCUCUGUUAGGAAUUGAUACACAAGCAGAUAAAAAUCGGAUGGCUAUGGAAAGUUCGGAUGAAAACAGUUAUAAGCUUGAUCUGAUGGACACACAGAACGGUAUCUGAAAACAGUAUAUACUUCAAGCACACAUGGAACAGUGGGGGAAACUCUCAAAGUUCGUAAAACAAGUCAUAUUUUAAAGUGUCAAUGUCAUACAAAGUAUAUUAC